rnacentral:rRNA from 1 species
UACGAAGGGGGCUAGCGUUGUUCGGAAUUACUGGGCUUAAAGCGCGUGUAGGCGGGCCGGCACGUCGGUCGCUGAAAUCCCCCGGCUCAACCGGGGAAGGGGCGCCGAUACGACCGGCCUGGAGGGACGUAGGGGGGGCUGGAACUUCCGGUGGAGCGGUGAAAUGCGUUGAGAUCGGAAGGAACGCCCGUGGCGAAAGCGAGCCCCUGGACGUCUACUGACGCUGAGACGCGAAAGCCAGGGGAGCGAACGGG